UGCUAGUUGUACGAGUUCAGACUCGUAGCGGAUAGCUCCGUAACACGUCGCCAAACUACCCUGCGGAGAGCCAUAACCUCGGGAAACUGAGGCUAAUAGCUCAUACGCGUCUCAUGCUGGAAUGCUCAGACGCUGAAAUGCUCCGGCGCCGCAGGAUGUGGCUGCGGCCGAUUGGGUAGACGGUGGGGCAACGGCCCACCGUGCCGAUAAUCGGUACGGGUUGUGAGAGCAAGAGCCCGGAGACGGAAUCUGAGACAAGACUCCGGGCCCUACGGGGCGCAGCAGGCGCGAAACCUUUACACUGCACGCCAGUGCGAUAAGGGGACCCCGAGUGCGAGGACAUACUAGUCCUCGCUUUUCUACACCGUAAGGCGGUGUAAGAAUAAGAGCUGGGCAAGACCGGUGCCAGCCGCCGCGGUAAUACCGGCAGCUCAAGUGAUGGCCGAUUUUAUUGGGCCUAAAGCGUCCGUAGCUGGCCACGAAAGUCCGUCGGGAAAUCUAUCUGCUCAACAGAUAGGCGUCCGGCGGAAACUUCGUGGCUUGGGACCGGAAGGCUCGAGGGGUACGUCCGGGGUAGGAGUGAAAUCCCGUAAUCCUGGACGGACCACCGAUGGCGAAAGCACCUCGAGAAGACGGAUCCGACAGUGAGGGACGAAAGCUGGGGUCUCGAACCGGAUUAGAUACCCGGGUAGUCCCAGCCGUAAACGAUGCCAAUUAGGUGUGGCGCAGGCUACGAGCCUGCGCUGUGCCGUAGGGAAGCCGAGAAAUUGGCCGCCUGGGAAGUACGUCCGCAAGGAUGAAACUUAAAGGAAUUGGCGGGGGAGCACUACAACCGGAGGAGCCUGCGGUUUAAUUGGAUUCAACGCCGGAAUCGAAUUCCCGCGGGCC
rnacentral:rRNA from 1 species